GAAAGCUGGGUGCCUGGAUGAUCUGUCAGAAGAGGCUCUAAGGGAGAAGACUCCAGACUGAGAGACUGACACUCUAAGAGAGAUGUGGUGCUUGGAGGAGGGGAAGUUCAAGUUGCAAGACUGAAGUCUCCAGGUCUAUUCUGAAUGGAAUUCUUAUGGAAGAAUUUGAACAAACUCUGCACAUGGACUGCCUACUGGACUAUAAUUUUUUAAAUUAAUUCCAGAAGGAUUUCUACAAAUCAGCAGCCUCACCAUCUCUGAUAUGAAACUGACCUAAGGACUUUAUUCAUAUCUCAACAUGUGUUGGAAGGUGUAAGUAGAAGAUACACAAACAUGGAAUGGAAGAUAAAACCCUCCUUUUCUUGGGAAGGCCUAGGAUUGGGUGACACAAAAUCAACAUGCCCCAGAAACUGAAAACCCAUCAGGAAAAAUACAGAAAUUCGAUCAAAGGGUCGUUUUGAAAUAAUUCUUUCCUGCGGGAAGACUAGCUGCAGCCACCACGUUUUUGAAGAAAUUCUUCUGCCCAGCUCUGGUGCUCUUCUUCUGACUGCUCACCUGACCAAGUCUCUUCUCAUCUCAAG